GUGCGAUCCCACCAGCUGGUGCUCCCUCCCUGUGAUGUGGUGAUUAAAGCCGUGGCUGUGUACGUCAGCAGGAUCCCUGACGUCCGAGACCUCGACGCCGUGGCCAGGGACGUCUUUAAGAACUCACGGGCACGGACAGCUGACAAGAUGGAGCGUUUCAAACAGGCCGUGGGAUACUAUUCAGCAGCUAGCAAACCGGGACCCCCGCCCUUCCUGGGUCUGGGAGCUGCCCAGUUUGGAAUGCCCUCCUUCCCUGCCAAUCACCUUCAGGGAAUGCCCCACGCAAAGCCCAUGGUAGGUUCAC